CAUCACUGGUGUUCGGGUUGUCAUGCCAAUGGCACUGCCCGGUAGCUAAAUGCGGAAGAGAUAAGUGCUGAAAGCAUCUAAGCACGAAACUUGCCCCGAGAUGAGUUCUCCCUGACCCUUUAAGGGUCCUGAAGGAACGUUGAAGACGACGACGUUGAUAGGCCGGGUGUGUAAGCGCAGCGAUGCGUUGAGCUAACCGGUACUAAUGAACCGUGAGGCUUAACCUUACAACGCCGAAGCUGUU
rnacentral:rRNA from 2 species